UAGAGAGAGAGAGAAAGAGAGAGAGAGCAGCGCUAGGCUCCUAUACCAUUUAUAGUAUCGGGGCUCCAAUAAUAUAGUCUUAUUUUCAACCUUAGAAUAUUCAAAUUAAUGAUUCAUACGGUUAAAACUGAUUUAGGGUAUUUGAAGUUUUUAGAAAUGAAAUUUUAUAUUUUUUCGACAUAGUUUACUUUAUGAUCAAAGCGUUUCAAAAUUAUCAAAUUUCAAUGGCUACUAUGGCA
rnacentral:lncRNA from 1 species